UGCAGUCGAGCGGAAGGCCCUUCGGGGUACUCGAGCGGCGAACGGGUGAGUAACACGUGAGUAACCUGCCCCUGACUCUGGGAUAAGCCCGGGAAACUGGGUCUAAUACCGGAUAUGACCACUCCAGGCAUCUGGUGGUGGUGGAAAGUCUUUUCGGUUGGGGAUGGACUCGCGGCCUAUCAGCUUGUUGGUGGGGUAGUGGCCUACCAAGGCGACGACGGGUAGCCGGCCUGAGAGGGCGACCGGCCACACUGGGACUGAGACACGGCCCAGACUCCUACGGGAGGCAGCAGUGGGGAAUCUUGCGCAAUGGGCGAAAGCCUGACGCAGCGACGCCGCGUGGGGGAUGACGGCCUUCGGGUUGUAAACCUCUUUCAGCAGGGACGAAGUUGACGUGUACCUGCAGAAGAAGCGCCGGCUAACUACGUGCCAGCAGCCGCGGUAAUACGUAGGGCGCAAGCGUUGUCCGGAAUUAUUGGGCGUAAAGAGCUCGUAGGUGGCUGGUCGCGUCUGCCGUGAAAGCCCGCAGCUUAACUGCGGGUCUGCGGUGGAUACGGGCCGGCUAGAGGUAGGUAGGGGCAAGUGGAAUUCCUGGUGUAGCGGUGAAAUGCGCAGAUAUCAGGAGGAACACCGGUGGCGAAGGCGGCUUGCUGGGCCUUACCUGACGCUGAGGA
rnacentral:rRNA from 1 species